AUGAACAUUCCCACAAAGUUUCAGAAUUUUUUGAAGUGUUUUUCUAUGUUUUCUUGCGUGGGUGCACCGAGGGUGGGUCCAACCACUACUUUCCCUUUUGUGAUUCCAAAGAUUGCCAGACCAAAACAUUUGAAGAAUUUUCGACCUAUCAGUUUGUGCAACAUCUUGCACAAGACUGCUUCCAAAGUUUUAGCCAACCGCUUAAAGGUGAUUCUUGGUGUUGUGGUAUCUGAAUUCCAGAGUGCUUUUGUGCCAAGUAGACUGAUUACUGACAAUAUUUUGAUUGCUUAUGAGUGUAUGCACACUAUUAGAAAACAACAUUCGAAGCAACCUUUCUUUGCCUUGAAGAUUGACAUGAUGAAAGCCUAUGAUCUUGUGUAA
rnacentral:rRNA from 1 species